CCUACGGGAGGCAGCAGUGGGGAAUAUUGCACAAUGGGGGAAAGCCUGAUGCAGCGACGUCGCGUGAGUGAAGACGGACCUAGGUAUGGAAAGCUCUAUCAGCAGGGAAGAAAAUGACGGUACGUGACUAAGAAGCCGCGGCUAACUACGUGACAGCAGCCGCGGGAAUCCGUAGGGGGCAAGCGUUAACCGGAUUUAUUGGGUGUAAAGGGAGCGUAGACGGGGCUGCAAGUCCGGUGUGAAAGCCAUUGGCUUAACCAUGGUACUGCUCUGGAAACUGGGGUGCUUGAGUGCGGGAGGGGCAUGCGGAAUGCCUGGUGUAGCGGUGAAAUGCGUAGAUAUUAGGAGGAACACCGGCGGCGAAGGCGGCCUGCUGGAGCGUAACUGACGUUGAGGCUCGAAAGCGUGGGGAGCAAACAGGAUUAGAUACCCGGGUAGUC
rnacentral:rRNA from 1 species